UGGGGAAUUUUCCGCAAUGGGCGAAAGCCUGACGGAGCAAUGCCGCGUGGAGGUGGAAGGCCUACGGGUCGUCAACUUCUUUUCUCGGAGAAGAAACAAUGACGGUAUCUGAGGAAUAAGCAUCGGCUAACUCUGUGCCAU
rnacentral:rRNA from 1 species